rnacentral:lncRNA from 1 species
GGGAAUAGUACUAAGGACAUUAGGAAGUGACACGGACUCAACAGACAGACGACAACGACUCACAAGGACAAACACAGAGUUGCAUAGUUCUCACAAAAUCUGGACAGUGAAAGGCAUAGGCAGAUUUCCACAUAGAGUCAAUGAAAGCAGAUACUCACAGAAUCGUCCAAACAGUUCAGUGCAUGGAAAACAGUCAAUCAGUUCAAGAGAUGAAUCAAAAGCAACAGAGCCUCACAGAUGCACAAUAUCGGUGUUUCUCUCAAGUGUUUAAGAUAAAUCAAUGUCACUCGAUGCACUCAAGAAAACAAACACAAAUAGACUUGGCCAGCCUCUAAUAUCAACACUCAAGCACACAUGCAUGUUCAAAUCAAAAGGUCUUUUCAUGGUUGUAAUGAGGCCAAGGAUAAGGGAGGAUAUCAUAUGGAUAAGAAGCUACAAACCAAAAGGAACAGAGGAGCAAUGGGGAACAAGUGUAAACACAGUCAAAUCACACCCAAAACCUCUAAUUCAAUCCUCUUCUUGACUCCAUUAUUCACACAAUUUUUUUAAUUUUCCUCAUUUUUCUGUAUUUUUUUCUUUUUUUUUCUUUUCCAUCUUGUCUCUUUUCUUUUCUCUCUUUUUAGAACACAAUUCUAAGAGACAAGAUACAUGAUAUUUACAAUGCAACCGCAAGAAGAGGACUCACUAGUCAAUUCAUCUACAACUCCUAAGAGACCACACUUAUUCCCAAAACAAUUCCAAAGCUCCAAAAUUCCCUAAGGUUCAGGUAAUCAUGGUUUUUCACUUAGGCUAUUGUAUGAGCUUCAAAACAAAGAANN